AUUGAACGCUGGCGGCAGGCCUAACACAUGCAAGUCGAACGAGUGGCGGACGGGUGAGUAAUGUCUGGGAAACUGCUCGAUGGAGGGGGAUAACUACUGGAAACGGUAGCUAAUACCGCAUACCAUCGGAUGUGCCCAGAUGGGAUUAGAUAGUAGGUGGGGUACCGGCUCACCUAGGCGUCGAUCCCUAGCUGGUCUGAGAGGAUGACCAGCCAGACUGGAACUGGGGCACGGUCCAGACUCCUACGGAAGGCAGCGGUGGGGGGUAUUGCACAAUGGGCGCAAGCCGGAUGCAGCCAUGCCGCGUGUAUGAAGAAGGCCUUCGGGUUGUAAAGUACUUUCAGCGAGGAGGCGUUACUCGCAGAGGAUGCACCGGCUGACGCCGUGCCAGCGGCCGCGGUAAUAC
rnacentral:rRNA from 1 species